GCUCCGAAUAAUCACCCUCUGGUGCCUCCUCUUUCUGGGGCUCUACCGACUGCUGAGACUUCUCCUGAGCAACCUUUGUGAAGGCUCCCUCUUGGUUGUUUAUUUUGAUUCAUGUAUAUGUAAAUAUUUGUAACUUAUCGGAGAUAUCAAUAAACAAGCUUUGCUUCAUUUCAACGUAUUGUGUUAAAUACAUCAAGGCCUUCUUCACUAAGUUCUUUGAAUUUUUCCUUUUGUUGAAGCUUGUAUGUUGAAUCUUUGUGAGUGAAGCAUGUAGGUUAAGGUAGUGUUCCCUUAAUUUCCCGAGUGAGGAAAAUUUCUCGGUUGGAGACUUGAAAAAAUCCAAGUCACUGAGUGGUCGUGAGACUUCUAAGUAUCAAGGUGCAGUAGCAUAUGGUAGGAGUCCCCCAAGUCUCCGAUCGAGGGAGUUGACAAAGGAGGUCUCUUGCUAGUAGCCAAGUUUCCAAAGUAACAAAACUUCACCAUUUUCCUUUCUAAGUGGUAGCCCAAAACUCCUCCUUCAUAUAUAUUUGUUAUGAAAGUUGUUAGGCCCAAAGAAAAUGAGGCCUAGGCAAUUUUUUUAAUUUUUAUUUUUUUGAAAUUUUUCAAAUUUUCGAAUAUAUAUAUAUAUUAAGCUUUAUAGGUGAAGCUUUGUAGGUGAAGUUUUGAGGUUGAAGCUUUGUUGGGUACCAUGAAUUGAUUUUGCUUCACACUAUCUUGAUCAAGAUAGUGUGAAGCUUUUGUAGGUGAAGCUUUUGUGUUGAAGUUUUGUAGGUGAAGCUUUUGUAGGUAAAACUUUUGUGGGUGAAGCUUUUGUGGUGGGUGAAGUUUUUGUUGGUGAAGCUUUUGUGGUGGGGAAAGCUUUUAUGGUGGGGGAAGUUUUUGUGGGUGAAGCUUGUUGUCCUCCAUUGAUGAAGCUUUUGUUGGUGAAGCUUUGUUGGGUACCACGAAUUGAUUUUGCUUCACACUAUCUUGAUCAAGAUAAUGUGAAGCUUUUGAGAAUUUGUAGUUGUCCUCCAUUGAUGAAGCUUUGUUGAAUUUCCUUUUUUUUUUUUUUUGGGAAAUUAGAAAUUUGAAAAUAUGGGAGAGACAACAUAUACAAAUUUUGCUUCCACACUGUUGAGCAAGAGAUUGUGAUGUAAGCCACACCUUGUAGUAGUCGAAUGUUUGAAUAAACCAUAUAAAUUGAAUUUGCUUCGAACAAUCUUGAAUUUGCUUCGAAGGUUUGAGAAUUGUAGUUGCCCUCUAUUGAUGAAGCUUUUGUUGGCACCAUAAAUUGGUUUGCUUCACACUGUCUCGAUCAAGAGUGUGUGAAGCUUUUGAGAAUUGUGGUUGCCCUCCAUUGAUGAAGCUCUUGUUGGAACCAUAAAUUGGUUUUGCUUCACACUAUCUUGAUCAAAUGUGUGUGAAGCUUUUGAGAAUUGUGGUUGAACUCCUUUGAUGAAGCUUUUGUUGGCACCAUAAAUUGGUUUUGCUUCACACUGUCUUGAUCAAUAGUGUGUGAAGCGUUUGAGAAUUGUGGUUGCCCUCCAUUGAUGAAGCUUUUGUUGGCACCAUAAAUUGGUUUUGCUUUACACUGUCUUGAUCAAGAGUGUGUGAAGUUUUUGAGAAUUGCGGUUGCCCUCCAUUGAUGAAGCACUUGUUGGCACCAUAAAUUGGUUUUGCUUCACACUGUCUUGAUCAAGAGUGUGUGAAGCUUU
rnacentral:lncRNA from 1 species